AAGCAAGCGCAGAGGGGAGGCCAUGCUGCGGUCGUCGAUGACUUUGAGGCGGCCUUCGAGCGGUUCGACGAGGACUCGGAGGAGGAGGAGCUCGAGCGCCCGGCGUGUGCGGGCAGGCGGCCCCGAGGCGCCGCCGGAAGCGGCGCAGUACAGGGUUCUGCGACCCCGGCCAUGGGGCAAGUGGGCGGCCGAGAUCCGCGACCCUGUCAAGGGAGUCCGGGUCUGGCUCGGCACAUUCCCCUCCGCUGAGGAUGCCGCACAUCGUGAUCACCACUUUCCCUCCGUUUGACCUUCAGCGUAUUGGCGGGGGGCUGGCGCGGCGGCGUCCGGUGGGGUGGGUCGGCGGCGAGAUAAUCUGGGGCGGGAGCACGGCGACACCCCUAAUUCGACUCGACUGCUGCGUCUUGCAUCGCCACGCUGCACCUUCUCCGUUCGCAGGUGCGUCUUCAUCAGGUCUUCUGUCACCAUGGAUCAGCAGCGGUGUCGCCAAGAGAUUUGUGAGGGGAAGCGGCCUGUUCUAGCCUCUGGAAUUAACCACUCAGGUGAAGCACCCAGUUGGAUAACCAAAAAAAGUUCACGCAUCAGAUCGGAGCCGAGGAGUCGGACUACCACGACGACACCUUUAUAUUUUAUUGUGUGGCCUCCGGCAAUGUCCCAAAGAUGGAGGCGGCGAUGUGCCAGCUCAGGAGGUCCAGUCUUCUCAUCUCUGUCGACCAGGUUGCAGCCAAGCUGUCCUAGAGGAAGGAAUGCUCCUAAGCUGAUUGCUUCUUUAAUUCCUCAUCAUAUGUGGUUUUGGUUUGCAGAAUAAGUGACCCCUGGUGUUAUUAUACUCAUCACCCCUCCACCGAUCCAUGAACCUGCGAGGAUUAUGUCCCAAAUAACCACCCUUACCUUGCAGAUAUCUGCUUUACUUAGCUUUAUUAUUCAUGGGGAGAGAGGAGGACAAAAGAAUGACAACCUUUGAGGAGGAGGUGAUGUGUGCGAUGUGCAGUACUUUUGUUAUUUUCAAGCAGAAAAAUGAAGAUUCAUGUCGGAGUCAGAGCCUGAGAGGUGCAUCCUGAGUUCAUCAUUCUCUCUUUAUUUUAUGUUGCUCCUGCCCGGCUCCUCGAGCAAUCAACACCAUAUCAUGAUAUCCCUGCUCCAUUCUCCGGCCUAACGGAUUCAAUCGCAUGACCAUCUGGAUCGCAUUUGAUCCGUAAAAUCACAUCAAAGAAGAAUAGACUGCCUCUUUGACGACAUGGUGAGCCUCAGUGCUCCCUCCUCCGCCAUGACUCUACUCUUGCCUCUCUGCUAAAGAGUUGUGGAGGUUCUUCUUCGUCCUUGACGGCACAACUCUCCUCCUCGACGUCAUGGUAUUGGCUCUUUUCUGCCAUGGCACUCCGUUGGCACGGAACAACACGAGGCAGUGGCGCCAAAAUAAUCGCUUGCGCCCGCGCUCAAGUCCCACUCCGCUGGAAAAGGCGUUUGCAUGUAACUACCAAGUAUUGCUCUGUUUUGGUAUUUGAUUGAUCAGUGUCCCUGGAUUUGCCAUUUAUGGUGGAUGUGAAAGGGUAAGUUACUCAGUGACUUGAUAGAGCCAAGUCACUGGAUCUAUACUCUAAUUGCGGCAAUAAUUCUAAAUAUCAAUCAGUAGACUGUAUGUGGCGGGGUAUUCUUUGAAAUAGUGGCAAUGCUUCUUUUCUUUUCCCCUUAAUUCAUAUGUGUAAAGUCAAUGGUUCAGUCUUUUGGGGUUUCUAUCUUCUUGCACCUAAUAGUCUCAUGUCAAAAGAAAGAAUAUGGC